AUUGAACGCUGGCGGCAGGCCUAACACAUGCAAGUCGAACGAGUGGCGGACGGGUGAGUAAUGUCUGGGAAACUGCCUGAUGGAGGGGGAUAACUACUGGAAACGGUAGCUAAUACCGCAUACCAUCGGAUGUGCCCAGAUGGGUUUAGCUAGUAGGUGGGGUAAUGGCUCACCUAGGCGACGAUCCCUAGCUGGUCUGAGAGGAUGACCAGACACACUGGAACUGAGACACGGUCCAGACUCCUACGGGAGGCAGCAGUGGGGAAUAUUGCACAAUGGGCGCAAGCCUGAUGCAGCCAUGCCGCGUGUAUGAAGAAGGCCUUCGGGUUGUAAAGUACUUUCAGCGGGGAGGCGUUACCCGCAGAAGAAGCACCGGCUAACUCCGUGCCAGCAGCCGCGGUAAUUC
rnacentral:rRNA from 1 species